UCAAGAAAUGCUUUGGAAAUGCUUUGCAGAUCAUCCCAGGCCCCCAGCUCAAAGAACCAUCACAAGGUUUCAUCUUUUAAAAACUCCAUUAAUUGUUUUGCUGCGUGUUUAAGGCACAUCCAUUUUAUGCUUCAUAAUAGAAAGAUUUAAACUUUCCCCAAGCAGAGAUACACCAACUCACAUUCGUUGCAUCAUUCCAUCAAGAUUUAUAUACAUAUGUGUAUUUCGCUAAAAACAAAAUGAUGUUUUAUAUAGAAGAACAAUAUACUUAUAUUUAUGUUUUUAAAACAAGAAAAUGAAUAGAAUGAAGCAUGAGUUUUUGAGUCUUGAGCUUGUUUUGCUUUUAAAUCGGGGCUGAGGUGGUGGUGAGCGGCGACAGGCGGCGGUUGUGGCUUGUUGCUGUUCCACGGUCUGUUGCAGGGAGUCGGGGGCGACAAUCGUCGUUACCUGAGAACUGUGAGAGAGAUGGGCGGCUGUGGGUUCAGCGGAGGGAGGCUAGGGCUUGGCGGCGGCUCCGCCGCUGUUGUCCGGCCGAGGAUGAAGCAUGAGAGAUGAGGGCGUGCGGCCUGUUGCUAUCAAUUAAAGCUGAAGGCAAGGGGAGUUCUAUCUCAAAACCAAGGGAAACCGUGGGGGCUGGGACUGGUGGUUAGGGUCUGGAGCGGCGGUGGCCAUGGCUCUUGCGGUGGCUGUCGGAAGUCAAAGGGAAGAGGGAGGCAGUAGCUAGGGCAUGGAGGCGGCGGCUUGACAGCUGUCGUCGCCGGAGAUCGAAUGUGAGGGCAGCGGCCGUGGCUUCUGCGGCCGCCGGAGGACAGAGAGAGGCGAGGGAGGGGUGAGUUCUUGUGUUAUAUGUGAGUGUUAUCUGGAGGAGAGGGAGACUGGGGAGUGGUUGAAGGGCGAGAGGGCGACCCGGCGGCGAUGUCGUCGGAGUUGAGAGUGCAGCCGCGUUGCUGCGUGGCUGUGAUGUGUGUGUUGUGUGAUUUGAAAAAAAAAAGGAAAUGGAAGGAGAUGGGUGACCAGUUUUGUCCUCGCCGGGGGAGAAGACGGCGCCGCGGCCGUAGUGCAGUGAGCGAAAGAGAGGGUGGCGUGAAAAGAGAGAAAGAGAGAGUGAGAUGGGAUGAGCGGCGCCGAUGAGAGAGAUUAGUGAGUGUGUGCGUGUGUUAGGUGGAGAAGAAGGGAGGGAGUUUUGGGCUUGGGAGUGUUGGGCUAGGUAGGGCUUGAGGUUGGGCCUGAUGGGCCGAUUUUUAAAUUAAAUUGACUUGGGCCGUUUUUAAUGGAGUGGUUGGGCCGGUUUUUAUUUUAUUAAACAGUUGGGCCUUUAUUUAUUUAUCAGUUGGGCUGAUUAGUUUAAUUCAACUGGGCCUUAUUUUAAAUCCUAAUUGGGUCAGUUUUAUUUUAAAACUUUGGGCUGUCUUGAUUAAUUAAUUAAUUGGACUGCUCUAUUUUAAUUAAUUGAACUAUUAAUUAGUUUAAUUAAUUAUUUUCAAAGACUAGUUUUCAUAAUAAUAUUAAAUUAUUAUUAUGUGCAUAUUUUAAGUAAAUUACUUAUUAUAUGUUAAGCAAGACAUGAAAUUGUAUUAUAUUUUGCAAUAAGAGAAUUUAUGAUUUAAUUGGUUUUAAUUAUAAUUCCAAUUAUUAAAGAAAGUCGAGUAAGAAUAUUGGUGGUGUUCUUAACUCAAGAGAAAUGUUUUUAAUUAUUUAUUCAUUAAAAACCCGGCUAAGUGAAUCAUAGAAUAAUAAGCACUACACCAUGACUUAAGAUUAGCUUCACGAGACCUAUUAAGAAUAGAAUUUCUUGUAGGCUUUGUGACCAGGGGGAUUAGCGCUGCUUUCCCAAGACAGGUUUUUAUGUGUAUGAUCUUCAGGCUUUGCCUAUCCAGGUUGGCUGGCCGGUGCUGACGGGACGGAGCUGAGGCUAGAGAUAAAUUCCUAUGUUAGACUUCCGCUAUAGCAAUUACUCAUAUCAGUCUUUUGUUUUCCCAACUUAAGAUCUUCAUGUUAAAUUUCAAAUGAUAUAUCUGACCGAGCUUAGACUCUUCA